rnacentral:rRNA from 1 species
GUGGGGGAUAUUGCACAAUGGGGGAAACCCUGAUGCAGCGACGCCGCGUGAAGGAAGACGUACUUCGGUAUGUAAACUUCUAUCAGCAGGGAAGAAGAUGACGGUACCUGACUAAGAAGCCCCGGCUAACUACGUGCCAGCAGCCGCGGUAAUACGUAGGGGGCAAGCGUUAUCCGGAUUUACUGGGUGUAAAGGGAGCGUAGACGGUGAAGCGAGUCUGAUGUGAAAACCCGGGGCUCAACUCCGGGAUUGCAUUGGAAACUGUUUUACUUGAGUGCUGGAGGGGCAAGCGGAAUUCCUGGUGUAGCGGUGAAAGGCGUAGAUAUCAGGAAGAACACCGGUGGCGAAGGCGUCUUGCUGGACAGUAACUGACGUUGAGGCUCGAAAGCGUGGGGAGCAAACAGGAUUAGAAACCCUUGUAGUCC